rnacentral:misc_RNA from 1 species
GAUGAAGAACGCAGCGGAAUGCGAUAACUAAUGUGAAUUGCAGAAUUCAGUGAAUCAUCGAGUCUUUGAACGCACAUUGCGCCCCCUGGUAUUCCGGGGGGCAUGCCUGUCCGAGCGUCAUUGCUGCCCUCAAGCACGGCUUGUGUGUUGGGCUCCGUCCCCCCGGGGACGGGCCCGAAAGGCAGCGGCGGCACCGAGUCCGGUCCUCGAGCGUAUGGGGCUUUGUCACCCGCUCUGUAGGCCCGGCCGGCGCCAGCCGACAACCCAUCAUCCUUUUCAGGUUGACCUCGGAUCAGGUAGGGAUACCCGCUGAACUUAAGCAUAUCAAUAAGCGGAGGA